UUUACAUCUUGGCCAUCCAUGGCUGUUGCACCCUGUGCAAGACUCUGAAUCCAAGCAGAUGAAAAAGUAAACACCCAGUUGAAAAUCUAAAGAGAUGAAGGAUCUAAAGAUUUAGGAGGACAUUGAAAUUGGAUAGCUCGUAGAGUUUGGAGAGACUACUACUGUGCCAAGAGAUUAGUUCAACACCAGACAACACAGUACCCUGCAUCAGAGGAGUUAAGUAUUGAGAAAAUCAAGUUUAAGGCUUUUGAUUUGGGAGGACAUCAAAUAGCUCGUUGAGUGUGGAAAGACUGCUACACCAAGGUGGAUGCAGUUAUCUACUUAGCAGAUCCUUAUGACUAGGAGAGGUUUGUUGAGUGAAAAAAACAAAGAGCUGGACGCUCUCCUCUCUGAUGAGGUCUUGGCAAAUGUAGAUACCCCAACCUGGUGUCCGUAUACUUAAAAGACCAACUACUGGUGUCCCUAAGACAAUACAAAGUGCUGGAUUAAUAAAUAUUCUGGAACUUUUAGGGUUACUCCAUAUUUUUUUUAUACCACAAAAAAAAAAAAUACAACCAGUACACCAACGUAAGGCUCUCUAUAGGCUACACAAAAGCUAUAGGCCUGUUUAGCGCAGUUUAAAACUGGUCCCAGAGUAGUAUCAUUUACAUUUACAACAAAAAUUAUCAAUUGUUAUUCCAUCAUUUUGGCAGACUGGCACUGCUGCAAGUCUUCCAAUACGACUCAGUUCUUCCAAUUUGGAUUGUACCUUCCACUCAACACAUCCCGCAGCUAUUUUGAGCUUGAUAGCAGAAGUAUUUCCUUAUAUCCUUGCCUCUUGGCCUGGGAAACAGCUUCCCUUGUUGCCAAUAACAAGGUCUGCAAUCUCUCUGUUUCUGCAGUAGAACAGCAUCCUUUGAAAAUUUCCUUCCCUUCCUUGUCCUUUGCCAAGUAAGCUAUUAUACUAAGGAUUUGCCACCUGAUAGCUCCUUGUUUGAGGCCUUCUUCUGGAUUGCAGCUACUGUGCUGUUUGUUAUUUUCUUUGUUGAAAGCUUGUCGUACUUGCCAAUCAAGUUUUUUGACAUUAGUAAUGAGUCUUGGGGAUAGGAUCCUUACAUUCAAAAAUGACUCGGCUCCUGUUUAUCCAGAUGGUCCAUAAAGUACAAGCAAUGAUAUAUUCAAAGAAAGGAUUUUGAUUCCUGUAAUUAUCAAUGUUAGUCACCAAUUUCCUCAACCAGUAGCUAAUUGAAAUUGGAUGUAGCAGAUCAGAUUAUAAAUUGAUGUCUGUUGUCAUCUAAAUUGCUUUUGCAAGUGUACAGGAUAGGAAAAGAUGGUCUAAGUCCUCUUCUGCGGAAUGACACACUACAUAUCUUGUAUCUGAUGCAAUCUUUCUUUUCUCUAGACCCAGUUUGGUUGGAAGUGCAUUUUUCAAAAAUUUCCACAAAAAGGUAGUGAUUCUUACAGGAUUUUUCAACCUCCAUAACUUCUUCCAACACCCUUCUCUAUAAUUACUGUCUUCUAAUCCAGGAGAGGUACUACCUGAAAGAAGCUGAUACC